rnacentral:rRNA from 1 species
UCGAACGAGAAAGUGGACCAUCCAUGAGUACAGUGCGACCGGUGAGUAACACGUGACCACCUGCCCUCGAGUGGGGAUAACUCCGGAAACCCGGGGCUAAUACCGCAUAACAUCUUCGGAUCGGAAGNACUGAGAUCAGAGGGAGCAAUUCGCUGNAGGAGGGGGUCGCGGCUGAUUAGCUAGUUGGCGGGGUAAUGGCCCACCAAGGCGAAGAUCGGUAGCCGGCCUGAGAGGGCGCACGGCCACACUGGAACUGAAACACGGUCCAGACUCCUACGGGAGGCAGCAGUGGGGAAUUUUGCGCAAUGGGGGAAACCCUGACGCAGCAACGCCGCGUGGAGGAUGAAGUCCCUUGGGACGUAAACUCCUUUCGACCAAGACGAUAAUGACGGUACUGGUGGAAGAAGCACCGGCUAACUCUGUGCC